AUUGAACGCUGGCGGCAGGCCUAACACAUGCAAGUCGAACGAGUGGCGGACGGGUGAGUAAUGUCUGGGAAACUGCCCGAUGGAGGGGGAUAACUACUGGAAACGGUAGCUAAUACCGAAUACAAUCGGCUGUUCCCAGUUGGGAUUAGCUUGUAGGUGAGGUAACGGCUCCCCUAGGCGACGAUCCCUAGCUGGUCUGAGAGGCUGACCAGACACACGGUAACGUAGACAUGGUCCAGACUCCUACGGGAGGCAGCAGUGGGGAAUAUGGCACAAUGUGCGCAAGCCUGAUGCAGCCAAGCCGGGUGUAUGAAGAAGGCCUUCGGGUUGUAAAGUACUUUCAGCGGGGAGGCGUUACCCGCAGAAGAAGCACCGGCUAACUCCGGGCCAGCAGCCGCUGUAAUUC
rnacentral:rRNA from 1 species